UGCAUUACCAAAUAAUCUAACUCAUUCCCAUUGAUCGACUUUAAUGAACAAUGUAAUGCACAUGCACUUGAUGAGACAUGAUCAUUGCAUGUACAGGUUUCCUCCAGUUUGCAAAAAAAAAAAAAAAAGACCUGCUGAGAGAAACUGUGUUCAGACUUGGACUCAGCUCGUCAGGUUGGUCACCUAUCAAUCAACACAGCACUGUUGUGCAAUGCUUGGACUUGAGAAGCUAACAUUAAACUCAUGAGGGUGAUGUUGAUGCCUUUGGUUGGGUGAAAAUCCCACGUCUGAUCGUCAUCGCUGUUAGUAGCAGGGAGGCUGAAAGGGCUGUCAGAUGACUCCAGCUUCAGCAUCCUUCGCCUCUAUCCAUGCAGCCCAGGUCCUGGGCUAGAUCUGCCCUGCCCUCCUCUGGCUGUCCCUCUUCUGUCCUAGUACAGCUAUAUAAUCACAGUUCCUCACAGUUAUACAGCUUGUAGCUAAACCGGAGUACGGAUCUGCCUUUGUGCUAACUGGGCAACUGAAGCGUUCGUUCUGGAGCCACUGAGCAGGAAACGACAACUUUUAUUAAGCAUGGCAGAGAGCUGUAGAGAGAGCGGAGAGAUGCUGGGUGCUACAUCACACACCAGCUCUGUACUCGAUGCUACAGCCAGAGAAAACGCUCAGCUGCAUUGCUGGUAGCAGCGUAGAGUGAGGGGUGCAACAAAUGGCGUAUUAAAUCUCCUCAGCACCACACCAGCUCCAUCCUGAUCCUGCACCAGUGUUGACCAUAAGGGAAAAUGUCUUAUGAAUGGAACAGAAUUAACUGUCAUAGAAACAACAUGCACUUUGAAUGCAUAACGCUACACCAUCUGUUUUCAUGCUUGCGCACACAGUCUCUGUCUGUGCAGCAAUAUUAACACCAAAGCCCUUCGUCGGUGCUUACGCAGUCCCUGUGGUUAGGUAAUGCAGAACCAGAGAGAAGAUGGCAGUUACUGCUGUCUUAUUUUGCAUCACAGCAGUCGCAGGACACAUGUUCAUCGAUGCUUUUUCUCACAAUUGCAGUGAGCGUGCAACUGAAUGCAAGGCUAUGGGGGGGAAAGAGAGUCCUGCUAUCAGCGGGGACUCUCGGUAUACCUAUAUAGAGGCUGCUGAUUGAUGCAAAAGCAGCAGAUGCGUCAGCACUGCAGACGAGGGGGAGGGGAGGAAGCUGAACCCAACAUGGCACUGUGAGACUCUCGCUAGCCUCUGAGGACGGAAGCAGCUCUUUUAUUUACACAACUCAGUAUAGUCAUAUGACUGUGUGGGUCUUCUCCUCAUACUGGCUGACAUCUGUUUCAUUUUCUGUGUUCGAUAUAUCACAUUAUGUUGGUUUCAUGAAUACAUAAUUAACCACAUCUAUUUUUGAUGCUGACAGCAAGACCUGCUUUCUUGAAGACCCCUACAUCAGCCGAGGGAGCAGCCAGUGUAUCAGGUAGUUAAACCUGAAAACUUGCGCCACACUGGGCCAUGUUGGUGUGCAAACCAAAAACCAGACAAGAGAUGACAAUACAAGCGAUAAGACAAAAGUGGCUUCACUGCAUACCCUCUGUAAUUGGAGCCAGAAAAUCUAAAUUUGGAAGACUAGGGGGGGAGCCUGGCUGAAGUUAAAGUGUGAUGAGCAUAUAGCAACCACCACAGCUGACUGGGAUUUACAGAGACUCUUGUCAGUCAAAACUACUCUAUUCUUCAAAUACACAGCAAAGACACACAUUAGAGGAAGUCCAAUAAAAUAAGACCCUAACUUCUUGUGAACAUAAUAUUUAAACAUAAAAAGAGGAGUUCUUUUGUUGACUGCAGUAUAUUUGGGGGUUUCUUUCAACCAACGUCUUAAGAUCCGGAUGAGUCGGUCCAUGAGUAGCAUUUAAAGACAAUAUACAUAUUUUAUUUUGUAACUUUAUCUAACUCAAUCUUUUUUUAGUCCUAACUCAUUUGUUGACAUUACGUACUGUACAUCUUCUAUAUCUUGAAUGAAUGGUUGAAACGCAUCUGUGGAAAAGCAAUAAUUUUUAACUCAAAAACAUUGUACCAUAGCAGAGCCUUUUAACCAUUGUAACAUUUUUAAUUUGCCUAGGCGAUUCUUUAUAUGUUCCAUAAUCUGGCAAACUUGCUUCGCAGUUUACAGUGUUGUAAAUCAUUUUAUUUAUGUUAAGAAUUGGGAAACUCUUCUUUUUAUAAAUCCUGAUUUUAAAGGUGUUUGUUUUUUUUAUUAGUGUAUAAUCACUUGAAAAUAAGAAUCAUUGUGUUUUCAAAUGAGUCAUUUUUAUCUACUGAGGGAGAGGGUCCCCUUCAAGCCCCUAUAAAGAGCACUGGGCUUUGAAGCCAAUUUGACAUAGUGGCCGAACCGUGUAAUUACAGCAAUGGCGUCCGUCGCGUGAUGUGCACUGGCCCAAAAAAAUUUUUCCCCAUAAGGUUACAUUAUGAAAGAAGCUGCUGUAAAACGGUGGAUACAUUUUCUCAAACAUUACAACAAAAUUACUCGUUUCACUAACAGAAUUUGAUCCAUUCAGUCUGAUAACAUUUAAAUUAUUCAUCCCCAUUCUAGCUAACAGAAGGCCAAACCGCAAGCAAGCCAGCUCGGACAGUGGAAGUCUCUAGUGUGCAUCCUCUAUGGGCCACUGUGGCAUGUGCAGUGUGUAUUCAUCCAAGUAAUUUCUUUACAACGGGAAGCAGCUUUAAUGCUGCAGCCUCUAAUGCUGUAUCCAGUUCUCUUUAUACAUCCAUCUUCCUCUUCCAUGGAGUCUGCCAUGUUGAACCACUAUUUUUCUACAGUAGCCCAAAACACACAAACCAAACACUGGCUCUAGAUAGCACCUUUCGUGUUUUUCUUGAGUUUCGUGGCCACCAUAGUUUCUCCUACAUGCUUGGACGGCUGAGCUGUAUUCAAAUGGCGACAAUCUGUAACUUCACCACUAGAUGCCACUGACUCCUACACACAGGCCCUUUAAGAAGAUCUUACCCGCCAAUAGAUGAAUUCACUGCCCUUAAUUAAAGCACUUCAUAUAGCACCUUGCCACCCACACUCAAUAUCACAUUUAGGAUGUGUUCAAAACCACAGGACAAAGUUUACAGGCCUCUGUGCCUCUGAUGCUCGGUAAGCUCAGCUGCGGCCUGUGAGACACAGGGAGGCACAGACCGCAGUGCACGGCUGAGUAGGCCUCAUAUUCAUUCUCAAAACAUUCACACUCUUAGCAUAUAAAGACACUCAUCCGUUGGUGCACUUAUGCUGCUGACUUAACAAGCACUCAUACUUUGAGUUGCCUACCAAAAUG